rnacentral:rRNA from 1 species
AUUGAACGCUGGCGGCAGGCCUAACACAUGCAAGUCGAGCGAGCGGCGGACGGGUGAGUAAUGUCUGGGAAACUGCCUGAUGGAGGGGGGUAACUACUGGAAACGGUAGCUAAUACCGCAUACCAUCAGCUCUGCCCAGAUGGGAUUAGCUAGUGGGUGAGGUAACGGCUCACCUAGGCAACGAUCCCUAGCUGGUCUGAGAGGAUGACCAGCCACACUGGAACUGAGACACGGUCCAGACUCCUACGGGAGGCAGCAGUGGGGAAUAUUGCACAAUGGGCGCAAGCCUGACGCAGCCAUGCCGCGUGUGUGAAGAAGGCCUUCGGGUUGUAAAGCACUUUCAGCGGGGAGGCGUUACUCGCUCAUCAACAACCGGCUAACUCCGUGCCAGCAGCCGCGGUAAUAC